rnacentral:lncRNA from 1 species
CACACCUGAGUCACUGAAGUUUCCUCUGCAGCUGUGUGUGCUGUUAUGUGCACAACUGGGCUAAGGAAGGAUCAAACCUCUUUUCCCAGGGACUGGGAAUGUCCAUCAGCUCUGCUAAAUUGGCAUCAGUUCAGCUCUCCUGAUUUCAAAUCCCAGAUCCUCUUUUGAAACCACCCUAGUCACCACCAGGAUGAACAAAUUCCUCUCACUAAAUCAUCAAAGAACGAACCCAUCAGAAACAAAUGUGUCAUUUUCUGCCAGCUUAAGGAGCUGAAUCAUCUCAUCACAGAACCUGAUGAGUGCCAGUGCCAAGCAAGGAAGUAUAGCCAAGAGAGGAGAAAGUAGUUGGACGGCAUCUUUUGGCAGAUCCAGGCUGCAAAAUCUCUCCUUCUGCUAAAAUUGCUUACUCAAAGUAAAUCUGCAUCAGAAGAGGUGUAAUCUAGGUUUUGGUUCGUUCAUCCUCUCUAGACCAGCUUUGCUGUCAGCCAUCAUGUCAGC